AUGGCGAUGGUCCUGGAUGCUUUUGCAUCCUACGUGCUAAACAUGCUAACGGAGAUGGCGAGGGAAGAGGUGCACAUGCUGCUUGGAUUCAGACGGGAGAUCGACAAGAUGGACAUUAAACUUAGGGACCUCAAGAACUUCAUCGCCGACGCUGACAGGAGAAACAUCACCGACAAGAGCGUGCAAGAGUGGGUGGGCCAGCUCAAGCGUGCCAUGUAUGAAGCUGCUGAUAUACUCGACCUCUGCCAGCUCAAGGCCAUGGAGCGUCGUUCGUCCACUUUAGAUGUGGGGUGCUUCAACCCCUUGCUCUUUUGCAUGCAGAAUCCCUCCCAUGCCCAUGACAUCGGCACCCGCAUCAAGGCACUCAACAAGAGGCUCGACACCAUCAAGGAGCGAAGCGCUGCUUUCAGCUUCAUCAAUAUUGGUGCAUAUGAAGAUCGUAGCAGCAAAGUGCACGUCACUCGUUCUGGUAAUCCCAACCGUGAGACGACAGGGGAAUUUGACCGGUCGGGUGUAGUUGGGGAGAAGAUCAAAGAAGACACGAGAGCGCUGGUUGAGACCAUGUUAGCUGAAAAAGAGGGCAACACCAACAUCAUGGUAGUGGCCAUUGUUGGUGUCGGCGGGAUUGGCAAGACUACUCUUGCCCAGAACGUCAUCAAUGAUGAAACCAUGAAGGCUGAGUUCGACAACACAAUAUGGUUAAGCAUCAACAAGGACUUUGACAAGGUUGAGUUACUAAGGACAAUCAUCACGCUCGCCGGGGGUGUACAUGGAGGUGAAAAGGCAUUGGUUGUGCUUCAGUCAGUUCUCACCACUGCCUUGAAAGGAAAGAAGUUAUUCCUGGUACUAGAUGAUGUAUGGAACCAUGGAGCAUGGGGUGAUGUGCUUAAAACUCCCUUGGAUAAUGUUGUGGCUCGAGGUAGCCGAGUCCUCAUCACUACUAGAGAUGAAAAAGUAGCCCGAGGGAUGAAAGCUGAGCUUCCCUACCACCAUGUCGACAAAUUGGAGGAGGAGGAUGCCUGGUCAUUGCUCAAGAAACAGAUAGUCUCAAGUGAGACUAAUGGACAUGAAAUUGAUAUGCUCAAGGAUAUUGGAUUGCAAAUUAUAGCAAAAUGUGAUGGUUUGCCUCUUACUGUCAAAGUAAUGGGAGGACUCUUGUGCCAAAAGGACAAUAAGCGUCGUGACUGGGAAAUGGUUCUGGAUGAUUCUAUAUGGUCAGUAUAUGGAAUGCCCAAAGAGCUAAACCAUGCAGUACAUUUAAGCUAUGAAGAUUUACCUUCUUGGCAUCAAACAAUGCUUUCUAUGCUACUCCCUUCUCCCAAAAACUGCAUUGUUCAGAAGAGACAACAUAAUUGGCAUGUGGAUUAG
rnacentral:rRNA from 1 species